GACGACGCUGGCGGCGUGCUUAACACAUGCAAGUCGAACGGUGACGAAUGGAGCUUGCUCUGUUCUGAUCAGUGGCGAACGGGUGAGUAACACGUGAGUAACCUGCCCCUGACUCUGGAAUAACUUCGGGAAACCGAAGCUAAUACCGGAUAUGACACAGAGCCGCAUGGUUUCUGUGUGGAAAGUUUUUCGGUUGGGGAUGGACUCGCGGCCUAUCAGCUUGUUGGUGAGGUAAUGGCUCACCAAGGCGACGACGGGUAGCCGGCCUGAGAGGGCGACCGGCCACACUGGGACUGAGACACGGCCCAGACUCCUACGGGAGGCAGCAGUGGGGAAUAUUGCACAAUGGGCGAAAGCCUGAUGCAGCAACGCCGCGUGAGGGAAGACGGUUUUCGGAUUGUAAACCUCUGUCCUUGGUGAAGAACAAAUGACGGUAGCCGAGGAGGAAGCCACGGCUAACUACGUG
rnacentral:rRNA from 1 species